GCCGGGGGGUCUCGCCUCCCCGGCGAGCGGGGAGGGUCCUGCGCCGGAGGGCCGGAGGCAGAGAAACCCCGCCGGACUCCGGCUGAAGUCGGGACCACGCGCUAGGGACUUAGUUCCUUUCCACCUUUCCGGUUACCUCCAUUGUCCCCUUCCCCCACUGCGGUGCGCCCCAAGCUUCCCUUUUGCUUCAGUUCUCCGCAUCCAGACCCCCUCCGCGGACCCCUAUCAGAUCUCCAAGUAUCUCCGAGCUUGCCCUGAAUCAAAUUAAUUCAGGAAAUAGAAAAGAGCCAAUCUUCCUUGAGCACCUACCGUGCUGGUUGGAGCACUGGGGCUGGAGGCCUUGACAGAUGACAGGUGACACUGAGCUCUGUAUUGCUGAUGGUUUCCUGGUGGGUAAUUCGACCUUAGACCGAUUCUGCUGUGUCCUCUGUUCCUGGUCUCAUCUUUCUGCUCUACCCCUUCAUGGUUCUCCCGUGGCUCCCUUUUGUCUACAAGGUAAGUCCAGUCACCUUAGCCGGGCAUUCACAACUUGUCAGGAGCUGGUGCUUCUCUCUCCAGCCUCAUCUCUCUUUAUUGCCUCCUGCUCACAAUGCUCACCGCACACUUCACACUUGCUCUCCUGUUGGCCUGCAGUUACUUCCCUCCUCAGCCUUCUCCUCCAGGCCUUCCUCGAAUAUUCUCCCAGCAAUGUGAAGUCCCUCCUCUGAGCCUCCAUAGGAUCUCUAACUGCCCCAGGUACGGUGCUUGCCCUGCUGCAUUGUCACUGUGCCUCAGGCUCUCUCACACCAGAC
rnacentral:lncRNA from 1 species